AAUGAACGCUGGCGGCGCGCCUAAUACAUGCAAGUCGAGCGAGAAGACGUAGCAAUACGUUUGUAAAGCGGCGAACGGGUGAGGAAUACAUGGGUAACCUACCCUCGAGUGGGGAAGUAACUAGCCGAAAGGUUAGCUAAUACCGCGUACGCUCCUUGGACUUCGGUUCAGGGAGGAAAGCGAUACCGUGGGUAUCGCGCUCUUGGUUGGGCUCAUGUCCUAUCAGCUUGUUGGUGAGGAACGGCUCACCAAGGCUUCGACGGGUAGCUGGUCUGAGAGGACGAUCAGCCACACUGGCACUGCGACACGGGCCAGACUCCUACGGGAGGCAGCAGUAAGGAAUAUUGCGCAAUGGGCGAAAGCCUGACGCAGCGACGCCGCGUGGGGGAUGAA
rnacentral:rRNA from 1 species